rnacentral:rRNA from 1 species
UACGAAGGGGGCUAGCGUUGCUCGGAAUCACUGGGCGUAAAGGGUGCGUAGGCGGGUCGUUAAGUCAGGGGUGAAAACCUGGAGCUCAACUCCAGAACUGCCUUUGAUACUGAAGAUCUUGAGUUCGGGAGAGGUGAGUGGAACUGCGAGUGUAGAGGUGAAAUUCGUAGAUAUUCGCAAGAACACCAGUGGCGAAGGCGGCUCACUGGCCCGAUACUGACGCUGAGGUGCGAAAGCGUGGGGAGCAAACAGG